GCUGACGAGUGGCGGACGGGUGAGUAAUGUCUGGGAAACUGCCUGAUGGAGGGGGAUAACUACUGGAAACGGUGGCUAAUACCGCAUAACGUCGCAAGACCAAAGAGGGGGACCUUCGGGCCUCUUGCCAUCAGAUGUGCCCAGAUGGGAUUAGCUUGUUGGUGAGGUAACGGCUCACCAAGGCGACGAUCCCUAGCUGGUCUGAGAGGAUGACCAGCCACACUGGAACUGAGACACGGUCCAGACUCCUACGGGAGGCAGCAGUGGGGAAUAUUGCACAAUGGGCGCAAGCCUGAUGCAGCCAUGCCGCGUGUAUGAAGAAGGCCUUCGGGUUGUAAAGUACUUUCAGCGGGGAGGAAGGUGUUGUGGUUAAUAACCGCAGCAAUUGACGUUACCCGCAGAAGAAGCACCGGCUAACUCCGUGCCAGCAGCCGCGGUAAUACGGAGGGUGCAAGCGUUAAUCGGAAUUACUGGGCGUAAAGCGCACGCAGGCGGUCUGUCAAGUCGGAUGUGAAAUCCCCGGGCUCAACCUGGGAACUGCAUUCGAAACUGGCAGGCUUGAGUCUUGUAGAGGGGGGUAGAAUUCCAGGUGUAGCGGUGAAAUGCGUAGAGAUCUGGAGGAAUACCGGUGGCGAAGGCGGCCCCCUGGACAAAGACUGACGCUCAGGUGCGAAAGCGUGGGGAGCAAACAGGAUUAGAUACCCUGGUAGUCCACGCCGUAAACGAUGUCUACUUGGAGGUUGUGCCCUUGAGGCGUGGCUUCCGGAGCUAACGCGUUAAGUAGACCGCCUGGGGAGUACGGCCGCAAGGUUAAAACUCAAAUGAAUUGACGGGGGCCCGCACAAGCGGUGGAGCAUGUGGUUUAAUUCGAUGCAACGCGAAGAACCUUACCUGGUCUUGACAUCCACGGAAGUUUUCAGAGAUGGAAUGUGCCUUCGGGAACCGUGAGACAGGUGCUGCAUGGCUGUCGUCAGCUCGUGUUGUGAAAUGUUGGGUUAAGUCCCGCAACGAGCGCAACCCUUAUCCUUUGUUGCCAGCGGUCCGGCCGGGAACUCAAAGGAGACUGCCAGUGAUAAACUGGAGGAAGGUGGGGAUGACGUCAAGUCAUCAUGGCCCUUACGACCAGGGCUACACACGUGCUACAAUGGCGCAUACAAAGAGAAGCGACCUCGCGAGAGCAAGCGGACCUCAUAAAGUGCGUCGUAGUCCGGAUUGGAGUCUGCAACUCGACUCCAUGAAGUCGGAAUCGCUAGUAAUCGUGGAUCAGAAUGCCACGGUGAAUACGUUCCCGGGCCUUGUACACACCGCCCGUCACACCAUGGGAGUGGGUUGCAAAAGAAGUAGGUAGCUUAACCUUCGGGAGGGCGCUUACCACUUUGUGAUUCAUGACUGGGGUGAAGUCGUAACAAGGUAACCGUAGGGGAACCUGCGGUUGGAUCACCUCCUUACCUUAAAGAA
rnacentral:rRNA from 1 species